rnacentral:rRNA from 1 species
GGUUAAAAAGCUCGUAGUUGGAUCUCGGCGGUCUGAGGGCGGUUCGCUUGAUUGAGUGCUACUGCUCUAUAGGCCGUGGUUUUGCCAGAGGUCUCGGGGUGCUCUUAACCGAGUGUCCUGCGAUGCUGGCAGGUUUACUUUGAAAAAAUUAGAGUGCUCAAAGCAGGCUUUUACGCCUGAAUAUUCGUGCAUGGAAUAAUAGAAUAGGAAGUCGUUUCUAUUUUGUUGGUUUUCGGAAAUCGACUUAAUGAUUAAUAGGGACAGUCGGGGGCAUUUGUAUUCAAACGACAGAGGUGAAAUUCUUGGACCGUUUGAAGACAAACUACUGCGAAAGCAUUUGCCAAGAAUGUUUUCAUUAAUCAAGAACGAAAGUUAGAGGUUCGAAGGCGAUUAGAUACCGCCCUAGUUCUAACCAUAAACGAUGCCAGCUAGCGAUCUGCCGACGUUUUCUUUGUAGACUCGGCAGGAAGCUUCCGGGAAACCAAAGCAUUUGGGUUCCAGGGGAAGUAUGGUUGCAAAGCUGAAACUUAAAGGAAUUGACGGAAGGGCACCACCAGGAGUGGAGCCUGUGGCUUAAUUUGACUCAACACGGGAAAUCUCACCAGGCCCGGACACUGGAAGGAUUGACAGAUUGAUAGCUCUUUCUUGAUUCGGUGGGUGGUGGUGCA